GAUGAAGAACGUAGCGAAAUGCGAUAAGUAGUGUGAAUUGCAGAAUUCAGUGAAUCAUCGAAUCUUUGAACGCACAUUGCGCCCCUUGGUACUCCAUGGGGCAUGCCUGUUCGAGCGUCAUUUACACCCUCAAGCUCAGCUUGGUGUUGGGCGUCUGUCCCGCUUCGUGCGCGGACUCGCCUCAAAUGCAUUGGCAGCGGUCUUGCCAGCUUCUCGCGCAGCACAUUGCGCUUCUAGAGGCUUUGGCGGAUCGGCGUCCAUCAAGUACACCCAUAGUUUGACCUCGGAUCAGGUAGGGAUACCCGCUGAACUUAAGCAUAUCAAUAAGCGGAGGA
rnacentral:misc_RNA from 1 species